rnacentral:rRNA from 1 species
UUAAGUUAUUAAGGGCGCACGGUGGAUGCCUUGGCACUAGAAGCCGAUGAAGGACGUUACUAACGACGAUAUGCUUUGGGGAGCUGUAAGUAAGCUUUGAUCCAGAGAUUUCCGAAUGGGGAAACCCAGCAUGAGUUAUGUCAUGUUAUCGAUAUGUGAAUACAUAGCAUAUCAGAAGGCACACCCGGAGAACUGAAACAUCUUAGUACCCGGAGGAAGAGAAAGAAAAUUCGAUUCCCUUAGUAGCGGCGAGCGAAACGGGAAGAGCCCAAACCAACAAGCUUGCUUGUUGGGGUUGUAGGACACUCUAUACGGAGUUACAAAGGACGACAUUAGACGAAUCAUCUGGAAAGAUGAAUCAAAGAAGGUAAUAAUCCUGUAGUCGAAAAUGUUGUCUCUCUUGAGUGGAUCCUGAGUACGACGGAGCACGUGAAAUUCCGUCGGAAUCUGGGAGGACCAUCUCCUAAGGCUAAAUACUCUCUAGUGACCGAUAGUGAACCAGUACCGUGAGGGAAAGGUGAAAAGCACCCCGGAAGGGGAGUGAAAUAGAACCUGAAACCGUGUGCUUACAAGUAGUCAGAGCCCGUUAAUGGGUGAUGGCGUGCCUUUUGUAGAAUGAACCGGCGAGUUACGAUUUGAUGCAAGGUUAAGCAGUAAAUGUGGAGCCGUAGCGAAAGCGAGUCUGAAUAGGGCGUUUAGUAUUUGGUCGUAGACCCGAAACCAGGUGAUCUACCCUUGGUCAGGUUGAAGUUCAGGUAACACUGAAUGGAGGACCGAACCGACUUACGUUGAAAAGUGAGCGGAUGAACUGAGGGUAGCGGAGAAAUUCCAAUCGAACCUGGAGAUAGCUGGUUCUCUCCGAAAUAGCUUUAGGGCUAGCCUCAAGUGAUGAUUAUUGGAGGUAGAGCACUGUUUGGACGAGGGGCCCCUCUCGGGUUACCGAAUUCAGACAAACUCCGAAUGCCAAUUAAUUUAACUUGGGAGUCAGAACAUGGGUGAUAAGGUCCGUGUUCGAAAGGGAAACAGCCCAGACCACCAGCUAAGGUCCCAAAAUAUAUGUUAAGUGGAAAAGGAUGUGGCGUUGCCCAGACAACUAGGAUGUUGGCUUAGAAGCAGCCAUCAUUUAAAGAGUGCGUAAUAGCUCACUAGUCGAGUGACACUGCGCCGAAAAUGUACCGGGGCUAAACAUAUUACCGAAGCUGUGGAUUGUCCUUUGGACAAUGGUAGGAGAGCGUUCUAAGGGCGUUGAAGCAUGAUCGUAAGGACAUGUGGAGCGCUUAGAAGUGAGAAUGCCGGUGUGAGUAGCGAAAGACGGGUGAGAAUCCCGUCCACCGAUUGACUAAGGUUUCCAGAGGAAGGCUCGUCCGCUCUGGGUUAGUCGGGUCCUAAGCUGAGGCCGACAGGCGUAGGCGAUGGAUAACAGGUUGAUAUUCCUGUACCACCUAUAAUCGUUUUAAUCGAUGGGGGGACGCAGUAGGAUAGGCGAAGCGUGCGAUUGGAUUGCACGUCUAAGCAGUAAGGCUGAGUAUUAGGCAAAUCCGGUACUCGUUAAGGCUGAGCUGUGAUGGGGAGAAGACAUUGAGUCUUCGAGUCGUUGAUUUCACACUGCCGAGAAAAGCCUCUAGAUAGAAAAUAGGUGCCCGUACCGCAAACCGACACAGGUAGUCAAGAUGAGAAUUCUAAGGUGAGCGAGCGAACUCUCGUUAAGGAACUCGGCAAAAUGACCCCGUAACUUCGGGAGAAGGGGUGCUCUUUAGGGUUAACGCCCAGAAGAGCCGCAGUGAAUAGGCCCAAGCGACUGUUUAUCAAAAACACAGGUCUCUGCUAAACCGUAAGGUGAUGUAUAGGGGCUGACGCCUGCCCGGUGCUGGAAGGUUAAGAGGAGUGGUUAGCUUCUGCGAAGCUACGAAUCGAAGCCCCAGUAAACGGCGGCCGUAACUAUAACGGUCCUAAGGUAGCGAAAUUCCUUGUCGGGUAAGUUCCGACCCGCACGAAAGGCGUAACGAUUUGGGCACUGUCUCAACGAGAGACUCGGUGAAAUCAUAGUACCUGUGAAGAUGCAGGUUACCCGCGACAGGACGGAAAGACCCCGUGGAGCUUUACUGUAGCCUGAUAUUGAAAUUCGGCACAGCUUGUACAGGAUAGGUAGGAGCCUUUGAAACGUGAGCGCUAGCUUACGUGGAGGCGCUGGUGGGAUACUACCCUAGCUGUGUUGGCUUUCUAACCCGCACCACUUAUCGUGGUGGGAGACAGUGUCAGGCGGGCAGUUUGACUGGGGCGGUCGCCUCCUAAAAGGUAACGGAGGCGCUCAAAGGUUCCCUCAGAAUGGUUGGAAAUCAUUCAUAGAGUGUAAAGGCAUAAGGGAGCUUGACUGCGAGACCUACAAGUCGAGCAGGGUCGAAAGACGGACUUAGUGAUCCGGUGGUUCCGCAUGGAAGGGCCAUCGCUCAACGGAUAAAAGCUACCCCGGGGAUAACAGGCUUAUCUCCCCCAAGAGUUCACAUCGACGGGGAGGUUUGGCACCUCGAUGUCGGCUCAUCGCAUCCUGGGGCUGUAGUCGGUCCCAAGGGUUGGGCUGUUCGCCCAUUAAAGCGGUACGCGAGCUGGGUUCAGAACGUCGUGAGACAGUUCGGUCCCUAUCCGUCGUGGGCGUAGGAAAUUUGAGAGGAGCUGUCCUUAGUACGAGAGGACCGGGAUGGACAUACCUCUGGUGUACCAGUUGUCGUGCCAACGGCAUAGCUGGGUAGCUAUGUGUGGACGGGAUAAGUGCUGAAAGCAUCUAAGCAUGAAGCCCCCCUCAAGAUGAGAUUUCCCAACUUCGGUUAUAAGAUCCCUCAAAGAUGAUGAGG